AAAAAAGAGCUAAAAGAUAAAAAAAAAAUAUGUGUAUUUUGAUUGGUUUGAAAAAAAUCGAUCAAAUAUAUAAAAAUAAAAAGAAUAGUUUAUUUUUAUAAAAUCGCAAAACUACUGAUUUUUUUCUUUUUUUUUUUAGCACAAGGGCUAGAAAAAUUUUCAUGGGGUUGUCGAUAUUCAGGAGAAGAAUAAAAGGGGAAAAAAAAGUGACUAAGUCAAUUUAAAAAUAACGCAUAGUUGAAGGGUAUACUUACAUAUUUACCUACGUUUUGGCCGUUUGGGGAAGUUAUAAUAAUAAUAAUAAUAAUAAUAAUAAAACAUUAAAAAAAAAAAAAAAAAACACUACGCCUGAGGGGGACUUUGAGUUUGAAGUAGGCACGGUGACAACGCGGAUACAGCGAGUAGGGGGCCACGCCACAGCGCCACGUGGCGAUAAUCCAACGGAUACACGACAACACGGUCUCGCUCUCUACAUCCCCCUCUCUCUCCAUCACAUCCGAACUGGAGCCCACGGUGCACCGCACCCUCGUCGUGUUCCUCGUUGUCCGCGGUCCGUCCGAUCUCGAUCGGAGGGCGGGGGUGUCUCCUCGUAGUCAAACCUGUUGCCUCGCUUGGGAGGGCCCCGCACUGGGACGUCCGAUCGCGUCUUGAGUGGACGGCUACGAUUGAGACGGGGCGUGGAUAACACUUCGUACCUGGAACCCGCACGCGAAAGUUUAUGCGGACGCGCUCGGCGGUUUUUGAUCGAGUAAAUGGGCGGUUGGGAUUUUACGGACCGCUAUAAAUAGGCAUGUGAGAAAUAAAAUUUAUUGUAUAGCACUUUCUCUUUCACCAUAUUAUUUAUAAUUAAUUUAUUAUAUUUUUUUAAAAUAAUAAUAAUAAUAUUUUUUAUAAAAUUAUGAUGAAUGAAUAAAUUUUAGAAAAUUAAUUUAAUUAAUUAGAAACUUAUAUUAAUAACGUCACUACGGUAUUCUUAAAAAUUUCGCGACUUUGAGGAGGAUUUUUUAAAGAUUUUUCUUAUGCGGUUGUCCGUACGAAGCAGGGCAUGGGUUUGCGGUCUCUUUGACUUGGUGGUUGGUACAAUAGUGUUUAUUAGUGAUGCAAACGGAACGGAUCCGUGGCCGACGGGUUUUCUCACCUUUCGUGUUAUAUUUUUUUGUUGGAAUAUUUUUUAUUUUAUUUUUGAUUUUUACUUACUGUUCAAUUCGAAACUUUUAAGCAUCCGUUUAGUUCGGGGUUAAGAGGUUAUUCCACCUCUUAACCCCGAAGUUAUUUUCAAAUAUCUAAUUUGGGAGGUGGGGUUAGCUAAUCCUAUUCCAAAUGGACUAUCCCGAUAACCCCACCCUACCCUACCACUCCAAUCAAAUAAAAUACUAUUUUACCCACUAUUCUUCUUAUUCCACCUACUCCAACUAAAUACUAUUUUACCUAUAUCUGAAAUAAACCAAAUUCUCAACCAAACACAAAAUUACUCUAACCCCACCUUAAUCCUGAACUUAACUCUAUCCUUGGAAUCAUAAGUUUUUACUUAACCCCGAACUAAAUGGUGGCUUACUUAUUGUCUCAUUCGAGACGGAUCAGGACGAGAGUAAAUUUUUGGCGAAUUUUUGACGGAUCUUAGCGAAAUUGAAGAAAGAAAAGAGUCUUCCGCCUCCCAUUCCAUUUACUUAACGAAUCGGAGCGAAUUUGGGGCGGGUUAUAAUUUUCUAUAUUUGUUGUUCUCACUUACCACCUAUUUGGAACAAGUCGGGGCAGCAGCUCUACCAAUCCAAAUCCAUUUGCAUCCCUACUGUUCAAUCGCUACAGUCAAAUCUCUCGGCAUGUGGAUUUUAGGGCCUAUCCGUUUAAAAUUAAAAACAGUUUUUAGUUAAAUAAUAAAUUAGAUGCAAAUUAUUUCUUUCAUUGUUGUUUAUUUGGUAGAGAAUUAAUAAUUUUUCCCGUAAUUUUUUUUUCCAUUUUUGUGUUUGUGUUAUGAAAACAUUUUACACCACCACAUAAAAUAUAAAAUAACUAAAUUUUUUAAUUUGUUUUCAUAUUAACAUUGUCACAACUCAAAACAAAGUCAACUAGGAUAUUUUUUAAAAAGGAGAGGUUACAUGUGAAUUUAGUUUAUGGCGAAUUAAAUACCGAAAGUGAAUAUUUACAACGAAAAAUCACUUUCCCUUUUUAUAUGUUUAGUGAAACAAAUAUGCUGGCGUAAGUAUGAAACGGUUAUUUAAAACUAAUAAGUUAGUUAGCUAAUUAACAAUAAAAAUAAGAGUAAUUACAACUUCCAAAUAAAAUAUUUUUCUAAUUAAUAAACUUCAAAGUACUGAUAAAAUAAUAAGUUAAUUAGUUAGCUAAUUAACUAUAAAAAGUUAAUAUGUUAGUUACUAAAUAAAUAAUCUAGUUAGGUAGAUAAUUAGUUAACAGAUUAAUUAAAUUCGUCAAAAUAUUAUAAUUUAAUAAAUAUUAAUAUUAAUUAAUGGAUAAGCGCAUAAAAUAAUUAAUUAUUUAAUUAUUUAGUUAAUUAUGAACAAAAAAAAUUAAUGGCUUAAGCAGUUAGGUAAAAAUUUAUCAUUUUCCAGACGGGUGCUGUGAAGGCAAAGUAGGACAAAAAUUGUGCGGGAAGGGUUUUCCAAAUUAUCCAUUUGAGGGCAAGAUUUUUUUUGCGGCCUAGUCUGUGGAUCUCACGUCGCGUGGCAAUUUGGUAAGAUAGUUGAAAUUUACUUUUCUUCAACUAUUAGCGGAUUCAAAAUAUUUUUAGACCCAAAAAUAAUAAAAAUUAUAACAAAAAUAAAAAUUAAGUAUUAACUAAAUACUGUUUAGUGGAUUCGAAUUCGAGCUAACCAUAGAGUAGACCUGGCUGGAUUCGAAUUCGAGCACUCAUUUCCGGAGCCCGGCCCGUACUGUUUAGUGGGCUUCGGGCUGGACCGACGUGAGAUUCUAGAACCCAGGCCUAAAGUCCAAAAUAUGUCAGGCAUUUCUUACACCCAUGUUUUAAAGUAAAUCCUACAUUAAGUAUAAAUUUAUAUAAUAAAAAAUUUAAUUAAAGAGUAUAAUGCUAUAACAAUAGUAUAAUAUGCAUUUAUUUAUGUAGAUAUUUGUAUGUUUGUGUAAUCGUGUGUGCGGCCCCCUCUCGCACACAUAAAUAGAUAUAUUCAUGCGCAGAAUAAUAAUAACUAAAAAAAGGUGGAAUUGGGCUCAAAUGGUAUAUUAUUCAUGAGGGAUUCUAACCAUUUAUAUCAUACAAGUAUAAGACAUGCAUAGUAAGUAUCAAUCAAUCAACCCAAAAAGAAAAAAGAAUAAAUAAUAAAUAUGGUACAUAAUUAAGGAGAAUAUGGAAAGUAAAUGAGAGCACAUAUGGUAGUAACCACAGGUUCAGAGGUAGUCGGCAUCACAAAAUGCCCAAAUAAUAGGAGCUGAUGAAUUGUGAAGAAGUAGACCAUGAUAUAAUGUGUUUCGAAUAUAUUGCAGAAUUCGUAGGACCGCAACAUAAUGAGUUGUUUGGGAAACUAACAUAAACUGACUAACAAUUUGAAUAGCAUAACUGAUAUUGGGCAUAAUAAUUGUAAGAUAAUUGAGACUACCAACCAAUUGUCGAUAGAGAGUUGGAUCGGAAAGAAAUGUGCCACCAGUAGGCUGAAGUUUGACAUGAAGUUGGAGUGGAGUGUCGGUUGUUUGCUGUCAGUUAAUCCAGCACGAAAAAGUAGUUCAGAAGCAUAUUUUACUUUGGAAAGAAAUAGACCUUUAGUUUGAUAAUCUAUUUCAAUUAUAAGAAAAUAGUGAACUUGUCCAAGAUCUUUUAUUUCAAAAUGUUUAUUGAGCUGGUGUUUGAUAUCAAAAAUUCCCUUCAUACCAUCACCUGUAAUAACCAUAUCAUCAACAUAUAAAAAAAGACCGACUUUCUCUAACGCAAGUGGCAAAGGGUUUGGUGGUUGGUACCCGAGGUCCCAAGUUCGAAUCCUAGUUGAUUCAAAUUUCAAGCUAAAUUUAUUUCUAAAUGAAAUAAAUGAAGCCGGUAACAUGCUACCUAUCUCUAAAAAAAAAAAACAUAUAAAAAAAGAACAAACAUAGCAGAGUCAUGAUUGCUUUGAGAUUAAAAGCCCUGCUGGAGGAUGGUACAAUGAAACUUCUCAAACCAUGCUCUUGGAGCUUGUUUAAAACCAUACAAAUUAAGCUUUGCGAUGCUUACACAUAUAUUGUGGAGGAUGAGAUAAGCCCAGAGGAGUCAUAUAUAUAUACUUCAUCAGAAAGAUCACCAUUUAAAAAUGCAUUCUUGACAUCUAUCUAGUAAAGUUUCUAACUCUGAAUAGAUACCACAGCCAACAGACUAAGCACAGUAGUCAUUCGUGCGACAGGAGCAAAUGUUUCCUCGUAAUCGAUUCCAUAUUCUUGGGAAAAGCCUUUAGCAAUGAGUCGUGCCUUAUCUCAUUCUAUAGAACCAUCUAAUUUGGUUUUAAUUUUAUAGAUCCAUUUAUACCCAAUAGCAAAUUUUUCCAGUGACAAUUUAACAAGCUCCCAAGUAUUGGUCUUUUGAAGAGCAGUGAGUUCCUCAUUCAUGGCUUGUUGCCAUUUAAGAUCAGAGAAGGUUUCAUAGUACGAUUUGGGUUUAUAGUGGGAGAAAAUAGAGGAUAGGUAACAAUAAUAGUCAUUGAGAUAACUUGGUGGUUGUCUUUUGCGAGUUGGAUGAGAUCUUUCUGGUUGCAUAUUGUCUAGAUUGCUAGAUGGGCAAGAAGGGUUGAGACAAAGAUCAUGUUGACCAUUGGCGGUUGUUUGUAAGGGAAUAUCAGAUGAGGAACUCUGUUGAAAUAGGUCUAACAGUGGAGAAUUGGAUGAAAACUUUGAUGCUGAAAGUGUGAAGAAAUUUAUUCCCCAAAUGUGAGAUGACUAGAGAUACACAAUUUUUUAGCAAUAGGGUCAUAACACCUAUAGCCUUAAUUUUGUUGAAGUCCAUUACCAAGAAAGACACAUAUAGCAGUUUUCUUGGUUAGUUUGUUGCACUCUCUUUUAGGUAGAAGAACAAAACAUGUAGAACCAAAAAUACGAAGAUGUGAGUAAUCUGGACUAACAUUAUGAAAACGUUGAAAAAGGGUUUCAUCAUUUAUGAUAGGUGAAGGAAACGAUUGAUAAUAUAAACAGUAGUAAGUAUAGCUUCACUCCAAAUUUCUUAGGAACAGAAGCCGAAAGAAGUAGAGUGUGUGCAGUUUCAAUAAUGUGACAGUGUUUUCUUUUAGAAACUCCAUUUAGUUGAGGUGUCUCAACACAAGAUAAAUGAGAAAGAGUACCUUGAUAUAUAGGGUAUUAUUUGAAAGCAUGUGAUAUAUAUACUCCGCCAGAAUCAGAUCAAAAAUUUUUUAUAGCUUUUGAAAACUGGUUUUUUAUCAUAGUUGAAAAUUCUAUGUAAAUAUUUAAAAAGUCAGCUCAAUUAUGCACCAAAUAUAUCCAUGCAUAGUGGGUGUAAUCAUCUACAAAUAUAGCAUAAUAAUGUGCAGCUCCCAUUGAGGGCAUAGGAGCUGGUCCCUAAAUAUCAAAGUGAACGAAAUCAAAUGGAGCAAAAGUUACAGAUUCACUAAAGGAGCAUUUAGUUAGAUGUAAUUAUAAAUGCAAUGUAGUUAUAGAUGCAUGUAGUUGAAAAUAUAACAGUUACAACUAUAUACAUUCUGUUUGGUUGGAUGUAGUAGAAAGUGCUGCAAAUAUAAAUAAUUUAUUUGAUUGCACGCAGUUGAGAAAUAAUUUUUAAAAUUUUAUCAUUUUAUAUAAUAUGAUAGUGAGAUUGCAUCCAAUGCAAAAAAGAAAAUUUUUUUUGUUUAAAAAAUAAUUAAGUAGGUAAGUAUACUUUUUAUUUAAAGUUACUCUCUCCAAUUACUGUAGUUGGAGCUACGGUCAACUUGGGUGUAGUUCGAAUUGUUGCAAUUGAGCCUCCUCCUGCAAUUCCUACUACAGCAGUUAGAAUUAAAUACAUCAAACCAAACACUGAAUUUGCAUUUGCAUGCAGUUACAACUACAGUGCAGUUGCAACUACAUGCAACAAAACGGCCCCUAACAGUAAAAGCAAGUGCAUGUUGUUUGGCAAGUUUGCAAUCAGCACAACAAAAGUCUUUAUUGAAAGAUACAUAUCCUAAUAAUCCUUUAUUAACCAAAAACUUAAGGCAAGAAAAGGAAACAUGUAAGUCUUUGAUGCCAAAAUUUAGAUGUAGAAGAAAAAGGAAAGAGAAGAGGAAGUAGUAGAAGAGACAGCACAAUAAGUACCCUGGGGAGAGAGAUGAAGAUUAUCAACGACAGCCAACCAGCCAACUCUAUGCCCUGUCGCAACUUGCUUCCCCGUCUUGCAAUCUUGUACAAUUACAACCAGAUAAAUUAAAUAUUUUAGUAAAACCAAGUUCACAAAGUUGUCUAACUAAAAUUAAAUUCAUAGAAAGUUUAGGUACAAGAAGUGUAUUUGGUAAAGAUAGGUUUUCAGAUUGAAGAAGGCCAAUGUGAGUGGCAAUGACGAUAGAGCCAUCGGCUAUUCAAAUUAUAGGAGAUGAUACUGUAGUUGUAUGUUUAGUAAUGCAUGAAGGAUCAUAUGUAAUGUGGUUGGAGGCACCGGAAUUGAAAAACCAAGAAGUAGGAUAAAUACUUGAUGGAGUAGAAGAAGCUGACAAAGAUGAAUUUGUACCAAUAUAUACUAAGAGCUUGUUUAAUCAUUGCCUAUACAUCAUCUGCAGCGAGUAUAGUGGAUAUAGAAGAACAUGCAGAGUUGCAAGAUUGUGGCAACCAAUGAUCAGACAUUGUCGCAGCCUUUUGCUGAUAUAUGUACUUCUUCUUGUUCUACAUAUUGCGAGAAGUUGGUGCUGUACAAAAUUUAACAGUAUGUCCAAACUGCUUGCAGUAGUUGCAUUGCACUUGUGGCAAGUCACGCGGUGGACGUAAGUUUGGUGUAGCGAGGUUGGAUCGCACGUCACGAUGCGCAUCAGAAAAUGGCUUAUAACGAGGGGAGGCAGAAGUAGCAAGACCAGAGGAAUUGUAUGAAAAAUAAAAAUUAACAGUACCUUUGCUUGUUUCUUCAGCAAUUAACUUUGAAGGAGCCACAUCAACAGUAGGAAGCGGUGUGCGAUAAGGAAUAGAGGUACGUACGUACAGAUUCGUAAUCAUCUUGUAAAAGCCAGGAGAAAUUAGACAAGUCGAGUUUCUUCAAGUAUCAGCUGAUACUGAUAGUAAAGAUCAGUAUCAGCUGUCAACUUUGGCUCAGUUAAUGCUAAUUGGUCCCAAAUGAAGGACAUCUGAGAGUGAAAAUCUGAUACGGAUUGGCCCUUCUGUUGCUUCAUUAUACGAAUAUCCAUUUCAAGUUUGUAUUUGCAUGCAAAAUUGGUUUGAUUAUAUAGGGUCGAUAAAAAAUCCCAAACCUCUUUUGCAUUAUCAAAGUUUUUGAAUUGCAUACUAAUAGUAGGACUAACAGCAUUAGCAAUCCAUGUUAAUAUUUUAUUGUUAUUAGUUUCCUACUUUUCAAUAGCAUCAGAGAUGCAUUCAUCACAUUUGUAUUCUCCGUAAAGUACUUCCAAAGAACUUUUCCUUUCAGAAAACUUCUCAUAAGAAAAGCCCAGUGUGUAUAUAUAGUUGGUGCCCUCAAGUUUAACAAUAAUAGGUUGUGCUGACUCCAAAUUCAUUAUGUGGAGAUAAAAAAAGAGAGAGGUUACCAAAAAUAGUUGGGAGUUUUGGUUAUAAGAGAGAGGUGCAUUCAUUGCCUUAAUAUAAGAUUAUUUGCCUUAAUACAGAACGCAAACAAACUGUUUUGUGCCUAAAUAAUUUUAUUUUUAUCAACACUUAUAAUAAGAAACUAUACCACACUUUCAUUGAGAGGCUACGACGCAUGCAUUGUAUGCUCUGAGGUUACUUCAUAGGCAUUAUGGAUCAUGAACUUUAUUUCAGAAUUUAAAAUUAUUGACCUUUAUCUCUAAACCUUUUAAGGACAUGUUUAUUUUAAGUUAGAAAACGGAAUAGAAACUUGAAAGAACCAGAACAGGAGACAGAGUGAUAAAAUGCCUCUAUUUGUUUGGCUUGAAACAGUAAUUGGAAUGAGAAUAAUUCAUUUUCAUUAUAACUGUUUGGAUAAGUAAACAGUAAUGAUUUGAACAACAUAGAUUCACAAUGUCAACAAUAUAAAAUUUGAUUUUAAAUUUGUGUUGAAAUUUGAAUUCAAUAAUUCAAAUUCAUAUUCAAUUCCAAAUUUAAAAGUAAAAUUAAAUGUAGAAAACAAACUUAAAUUAAAUUUAACUUUUGACUAAAAAAAUUAAAUUUUAAUUAGAAUACAAAUUUACUAUCUAAAUUUGUUUUCAAAAUUUGAAUGCAAAUUUAGACUCAUAAUUUAAACUUAAAAUUUAAAUCAAAUUUGAAGAAAAUUCAAAUAACAUAAUUUAAAUAUAAUUCAAAUUCAAAUUCAAAUCAAAAUUCAAAAUUGGAACUACAAAUUAAAAAAUCAAACUUAUAUUAGAAUUCAAAUUUAAACUUAAGAAUUAGAACUCAAAUUUAAAUUUAUGUUUAUAAUUUUAAUUUUGAAUUUAUAAUAUAAUAUGAAUUUAGUUUAAAUUAAUCAGUAUUUGAAUGUAACAAAUUGGUAGUGAAAAAAAAGAAGAAGAAGAAAAAGAAGAAGAAAUGGGUUUUUUUUUUUUUUUUCCAAUCCCUUUUGGAAUCAAUGUAGACUCCAACCUUCAUGGUGGGAGGCAUUUUGAGAGAAUUGGAUUCUCCUCAAAUGAAAAUUGAAAUGUGAAUCUCUUGAAUCAAACAUCGACAAUAGGAGUUACAUUUUUUUAUUCUCAUUCUAACCGUAAGAUCUUUUAAAUCAAACACGCCCUAAAGGUUUAAGGCGAUAAUUUUUAUUGUUCUUCUCUCUGACAAUAAUACAAUUACGAAUAUUAAUUAAUAAGUAUUUUGAAAUAAAGCUGUGCCCGACUCUAGAAAGAAUUGAGAAUUGUAAGAUGUCACUUAAACACCUCAAUAUAAACUUAUAAUUUCAUACCUCAUAAUUUAGGCUUUACCAUCUCACUUUUUUUUUUUUUUUUUUGAGAGAGAGAUAGGUAGCAUGCUACCCGCUUUGUUUAUUUCAUUUAGAAAUAAACUUAGCUGGAAAUGUGAAUCAACUAUAAUUCGAACUUGGGUCUCGGAUACCAACCAUCAAGCCCUUUGCCACUUGCUCUAGGAACGGUCAGUAAUUAAGGCUUUACCAUUUGAUCUGUCAUUUAAACAACUUUGAGAUUUAUGCUAUUUCACUAUAACAGAAGUAGGUUAUAGGGACACAUGUUUGGGACACUUUUAAGUAAGUAUCUCAUUUAUACUAAAACUUAAAAAAACAUUUACUAAUGCCUAAAUAUAAAGCCCAAUCCAACCAAAAAUAAAAGAUUACUCUACUCAACCCACCACACCCAGUCUAUUUGGCCUAAUUACAAAUAGAAAAGAAAAAAAAAGAAAAAUCAAUUACCAUCUUUUCUUCUCUUUUUACUCAAUCUACUGAAAUUCUAGACGAAGAGUCUUUCCUGUCGUCCUCCUCUGCCACUGCAGCCAACGAAAUAGAGUUUCGACGGUUGCUAAAUGCUUAAAUAAGUGUUUGUAAAUUAGCAGCACUCUUUUAUGUUAUAGCGACACCUUUUAAUUGUCACUAUAUACCUAGCGACCCCACAUAUAGCAACACUUUUUAAAAGUGUCGGUAAUUUUAGCUAGCAGCACUUUUUUGACAUGUACCUAUAUUUAAAAGUGUCGCUAUAGAUCGUUUUUGUUGUAGUGAAUUGUAUAAGAAAUGACGAAUAAACUAGUCUCUUGGAGACUAUCCCUAACAAUUUUUUAAUCUAUUUUUAUCUUAAAAAAAUAUUCUAGAUAGAAAUAAUAUUCAAUCAAAAACUUUAUAUUCCACUGAAAUAUAAUAAUUUUUUUAA
rnacentral:lncRNA from 1 species